rnacentral:lncRNA from 1 species
GGCAGUUCAAGGAGAUGCAUUGCAGGGGUGAGAUCAAAGGAUUUGCUUGAAGCAGACACGGGAAAGUAGGGGGCGUAAAGGACGCGACCAGAAUGCUGAGAGAGGUCAAGAAACGUGUGUUUAUAUGUCCGUGGGGUUUGUUAGGGACCAGACAACAUCCCAGCUGGGAGCGCUGGGGAUUAUUAGGUCCAGCGAAGCACUUGAACAGCAAAAGGAUCGAGUCUGGUGUAGGAG